rnacentral:rRNA from 1 species
UACGUAGGGUGCGAGCGUUGUCCGGAAUUACUGGGCGUAAAGAGCUCGUAGGUGGUUUGUCGCGUUGUUCGUGAAAACCGGGGGCUUAACCCUCGGCGUGCGGGCGAUACGGGCAGACUUGAGUACUGCAGGGGAGACUGGAAUUCCUGGUGUAGCGGUGGAAUGCGCGGAUAUCAGGAGGAACACCGGUGGCGAAGGCGGGUCUCUGGGCAGUAACUGACGCUGAGGAGCGAAAGCGUGGGGAGCGAACAGG